GACGAACGCUGGCGGCGUGCUUAACACAUGCAAGUCGAACGGAAAGGCCCUGCUUUUGUGGGGUGCUCGAGUGGCGAACGGGUGAGUAACACGUGAGUAACCUGCCCUUGACUUUGGGAUAACUUCAGGAAACUGGGGCUAAUACCGGAUAGGAGCUCCUGCUGCAUGGUGGGGGUUGGAAAGUUUCGGCGGUUGGGGAUGGACUCGCGGCUGAUCAGCUUGUUGGUGGGGUAGUGGCUUACCAAGGCUUUGACGGGUAGCCGGCCUGGGAGGGUGACCGGCCACAUUGGGACUGAGAUACGGCCCAGACUCCUACGGGAGGCAGCGGUGGGGAAUAUUGCACGAUGGGCGGAAGCGUGAGGCAGCAACGCCGCGUGCGGGAUGACGGCCUUCGGGUUGGAAACCGCUUUCGCCUGUGACGAAGCGUGAGUGAGGGUAAUGGGGAAAGAAGCACCGGCUAACUACGU
rnacentral:rRNA from 1 species